rnacentral:rRNA from 1 species
ACCUACGGGGCGCAGCAGUAGGGAAUCUUCCACAAUGGGCGAAAGCCUGAUGGAGCAACGCCGCGUGGGUGAAGAAGGUCUUCGGAUCGUAAAACCCUGUUGUUAGAGAAGAAAGUGCGUGAGAGUAACUGUUCACGUUUCGACGGUAUCUAACCAGAAGGCCACGGCUAACUACGUGCCAGCAGCCGCGGUAAUACGUAGGUGGCGAGCGUUAUCCGGAUUUAUUGGGCGUAAAGGGAACGCAGGCGGUCUUUUAAGUCUGAUGUGAAAGCCUUCGGCUUAACCGGUGUAGUGCAUUGGAAACU